CCUUCUGUACACAUCUCCAGGUGAAUCACAUGGCUGGCAGUGUGCCUGGCUUCAAUAAGCCAGAAGCCAGACUUUCUACAAGGAAGAUGGUCAGCAACUCUAAGCCUCACCAUGAACAUCAGUUCAAAGGGAACAUCCUGAUAGGGACCUGAAAUAGCCAGGGAGAGAAACUUCUGGAACAUGAUUAAGGAAAAUGUAGUUUGUGGGUGGAAAAUCUAAACACAGUAAGUACUUUUGCGAAAUUGCCUGCCUCACUGCCCUGACAGACAGACAGACAGACAGACAAGUAGGCGGGCAGAUAGUUAGGCAGGCAGGCAGGCAGGCAGGCAGAGAGACAGACAGACAAAUGGCUCUGUAUUCUCCAAAGAAUCUGAUCACAGAUUUCAGAUAGGAUGAGCCCUUGGGGUUCUUUCCAUUCAGAGCUAUGAGGUGCUAGAGUCCCAUAGGUGCCAUGCCUGCAGUAUCCCACUGCUUAUUUUAAUAAGAGUUUGUUGAGGCUCACAUGGGUACCCAGGAAGCAAGAACCUAAUCUUGCCAGCUAGGUUGACCAGGGCAAAUUCAUAGCUGUCAGGAUGGGUUGUCAUUCAUUUUAAACAAGGUUCCCUUUGUACAAGGCAACAGUGUUGACUGCUGGGCUUGCUCAAAAUCCAGGCCUUAGGCCCUCAGUGCAUCAAAAUAAGUAGAAUGUUAGGUGGAACUUCCAGAUUGGCUCAAUUCAGUCCAACAAGCAUGGACCAAGUCCCUUUAUAUAAUGAAUGGGGUGCGGGGGCUGUUGUUCAGGAAGCCAAGCUAUAGUAACAGAGACAGACAUAUGACAUAGUCACAAUGCUAUGACACCUCAUGGAAUUCUACAUAGGACUUAUAGACGUGCAGAGAAAACUCCUAGAGAAGGCGGCAUGGAGCUGUAUAAGACCAGGAGGCGCAGGCGUUGAAACGAGGGUAAUGAAGGAACCACACCGCACUGCUGAGAACCCAUCAUCUACACAGCCACACAGCCCUCUCUUUUUGUUCAUCAGGCUCCUGUAAAGCUCCUCCCAGUUUUAAGAUUAGGAAACGUAUGCCACGUAACAAGUAGGCCAGGCAAGACUGAAGCCCAGUUCCGACCCCCACCCCACGUUCACUUUACUGAGCCAAGCCACCUUACUAGGAGGAUGGUCUGCACAGCAUAGUUUGCUGACAUUUCCAUCUUGAGAAAUGGAAGGAAAUGUCACUGCUCAACGGGAAAAUGGUUGGUGUCUAGACAUCUCUGGCUGCUUUCCUCCUCAAGGCUCUGGUUCACUGAGUGGGUGUAUGCUCUGUCUCUGGAAUUAUUUUCAGACCAGUGCCUGGGCAUUUGCCAAGAAGGGGAGGAGACUAAGAAACGACAUAGAGAAGGCCUUUCAGGACAACAGUUCUGAGAGCAGGAACACUACUAGAUAUCUCAGUUACCCUCUUUUACCUGGGCAUGAGCCCUGGGCAUAGGAUUUGCGUCUUGGAGGCAGCUGGCCACAACAGGUAUUUAUUGAGUACUUGCUUUGUAGUGAGGUGAACUCACCGAUUUGAGUAUAGCACGAAGCAAGAGAAGCCCUCUCUUCCUUCUUGAGGUUUAUCCUGGUGCAAGUGUGCCAUAGAAUAGAUCAGGGAGGUGAGACAAUAAACACCUAACUAAGCAAACAAAGCCAUUAUGCAGGUGAAGGGAUGCAGUUAGCUGACUGUCCAGACUGAGAGGAACUGUGGGCAUGGUGGAGAGAUGAGCUACAUGCAGGAAAGCAGGAACUGCGCUACUCUGUACGCUGGAAACCAGGAGCUUCUAAGAAGAGCAACUGGAUGGUCUACAACCUGGAACCAUCUCCGACCUCCAACUUGCUUCAGGAAUUUGGCCAAAGAUAACUUGAAUCAUAUUUUAAAAUUGUUGAGAGAAACAUCCAAAUGCCUGCUAACAUAGUACAGUAGAUGUAGCAGACAAUAAUUUAUAACGUUUCACAUAACUAGAAAAAUGUCAAAGUUCCCAACAUGUGGAAAUGACAUGUUUCAGAAGCCCAAUUAUCCUAACUCAACCAUGAUACACAGUGUGUUCAGGUAUUGGAUUGUCAUUUGUACCCUGUAAAUAAGUACAAAUAUUAUAUGUCAGUUUGAAAAUAGCCAUGGUUAAGAGAAAAAAUUUGUCUGGCAAGAUGGCUCAGCAAGUAAAGGUACUUGCCACCAAACCCAAUGAGUUUAAUUUCUGAGAAUUCAUAUGGUAGACAAAAAGACCUGAUGCCUAGAAAGUUGUCUCCUGGCAUUCAAAUUUAUGUGUCCUUAUUUCCCCUCCAACAAAUCAAAAUUACAAAUGCAAUACAAAUAUAUGAAAA